ensembl:lncRNA
GCUUAUUCAGCAAACAGCUUAAUCAGUAAUGCUUCCUGAUUACACAAAGGCAGCCAUACAGCCAACCAACAACAAUAUGUUUCACAAGCCUGAAAAUGAGUCUUUUAGUUCUUGCACAGAUUUCCACGCAUCUCAAAGUGAAAGCUUCACAGGCCUGAACCAUCAAUUCAAUGACUUAAUUCGUUUAGCUGUACCACACAUUCCUCCUGCUGCUAAAACCAUCUGGAAAACAUACAACUUCAAACAAACUUUGCUAUGAUGAAAACUGACUUCACAGCCAAAUUCUGCUGUAGUUCCAUUCAUCUUUUUACUUCAGUGAUGUUCUUUAUAUCUCCAUCACUCACUGCUGCAGGUAACCAGGCCAAACUGUUUCUCAAAGUUUUCUGUUUGUGAUUUUGUGUUUUAGAUCGUCACAUGGAGUUUUGGCAUGAGCCAUCAAUAUGGAGCUUCCCUAUCUUUCCCAGCCUUAUAGAUACAUCCAAGGAAAGAGGAAAUGAGGGGUGCAUGUCCUUCGUGCACUGAUGGAGAUGUUAACGAGGCUAAGGAGAAACCUGAACACUUUACCCAGAUGUUCAGGACAUGAAGAAAGGGUGGCUGCUGCACAGAACCAGGAUCGGGCAAUCCACGCUUGUUUUCUAAAGAGGAUUUCUACCCAAAGUUGGGCAGAUUUUCCCAAAGAAAAUACUCCUGUGUCUCUACCAAUGGAUAAAAAUGUUGUAUUUUAAGUCUGUAAAAUAUUCUGUUUACUAUUAUAAUGAUGUGUAUGCGUAGUUUUAAAUCUUCUUUGAUAAUAGGCUUUUUAACAAAACUGGCUGAUUUUAAUGCUGUUAACUGUGCAGUUAAGUGAUCAUGCUCAUUUAAUCAAAUUAAAACCUACUGAUGUUCUGACCUUCAUAGUCAAUCUAGUAUCUAGCUGUAGUAGUAUGUUACAAGCAAAAUGUAUUUUAAGUAUCACAAUUACUCUUAUAAUCUCAUACAAUGUUGUGAAUCAAUGUUUGUUUCAUUUGUACAGUCAUUAGCAGCAGUCUUUAAGCAAUUAGUUAGCAACUUGCAGUUAUCUAUAGAAAGAGAUAUUAUGUAAAAAUGCAAAAAAAAUCUGAGCUAAUAGACUCAACAUUUAAUAUAGCGUCAUGCACGCACCCAUACAUUACUUUUAUUUCUGUAGAAAUCUGUAUUAGGACCUGUGUUUAACUGUAUUUUAAAUAAAUUAACCUUAAAAAA